rnacentral:rRNA from 1 species
UCUUUUCCUUUUGUGCCCGCCGCCGCGGUAAUACGUAUGGUGCAAGCGUUAUCCGGAUUUACUGGGUGUAAAGGGAGCGCAGGCGGAAGGCUAAGUCUGAUGUGAAAGCCCGGGGCUUAACCCCGGUACUGCAUUGGAAACUGGUCAUCUAGAGUGUCGGAGGGGUAAGUGGAAUUCCUAGUGUAGCGGUGAAAUGCGUAGAUAUUAGGAGGAACACCAGUGGCGAAGGCGGCUUACUGGACGAUAACUGACGCUGAGGCUCGAAAGCGUGGGGAGCAAACAGG